UACGAAGGGGGCUAGCGUUGCUCGGAAUCACUGGGCGUAAAGCGCACGUAGGCGGAUUGCUAAGUCAGGGGUGAAAUCCUGGAGCUCAACUCCAGAACUGCCUUUGAUACUGGCAACCUUGAGUCCGGGAGAGGUGAGUGGAACUGCGAGUGUAGAGGUGAAAAUUCGUAGAUAUUCGCAAGAACACCAGUGGCGAAGGCGGCUCACUGGCCCGGUACUGACGCUGAGGCACGAAAAGCGUGGGGGAGCAAACAGG
rnacentral:rRNA from 1 species